AUCCCACUAGGGAAACAAUAUAUUUCAAAGGUUUAACACAAGCUAGGAAAAAAAUGAUAAAAGUACGGCACCUGUGAGAAGGGGGAAAAAACCACAUAGAAGUGACCCAAGUAAGGACCGAAAAGCCUUGAACGUGUUUCACGCUUGGCACAGCGCCAAGCAUUAUGAAUGCUUUCCUAUGGGACUGGCUGAAUGCGCAUGCGCGAUG